UGGAGCUGUGUGCGCUGAAAGGUGCAUGCACAGUUCUUAAGGGGGGAAAGGCCGAAAGGCCCUACCUAUCCAAC
rfam:Monoraphidium neglectum strain SAG 48.87 mitochondrion, whole genome shotgun sequence.